rnacentral:rRNA from 1 species
AUUGAACGCUGGCGGCAGGCCUAACACAUGCAAGUCGAACGAGUGGCGGACGGGUGAGUAAUGUCUGGGAAACUGCCUGCUGGAGGGGGAUAACUACUGGAAACGGUAGAUAAUACCGCCUACCAUCGGAUGUGCCCAGAUGGGAUGAGCUAGUAGGUGGGGUAAAGGCUCACCUAGGCGACGAUCGCUCGCUGGUCUGGGAGGAUGACCAGCAAAACUGGAACUGAGACACGGUCCAGACGCCUACGGGAGGCAGCAGUGGGGAAUAUUGCACAAUGGGCGCAAGCCUGAUGCAGACAUGCCGCGUGUAUGAAGAAGGCCUUCGGGUGGUAAAGUACUUGCAUCGGGGAGGCGUUACCCGAAGAAGAAGCACCGGCUAACUCCGUGCCAGCCGCCGCGGUAAUUC